UACACAAUUACUCAAUCCACCGUAAGGCUCUUUAAUAGGAAACAAGUGUGACAACGGCAAGCCUCUUUUUUUUUUUUUUCCUCCUCCCUCCUAAACCACAGAGUCAAAUAGCUCUAAUAGAGAUGAAGCUUGAUAGAUCCGCCCAGGUGUAGGUGAAAUGGUAGAGCCUCAGGGGUAAUAGAUGCUGUGCUCUCCUGCUGAAGUUUAGCACUUUGUCCUGACGGGCUCACUAGCAGCAGUGCGAUGGGCUGCUCCUUGUACAGUUACAAAGUCAACAUGCUUCUUGCUGCUCACGUUUAUGCCUAAUCCGGAGGGCAACCUGGAGCUAGGUAAGAACUGCAGAACAGCCCUUUGACUUCAGCACAUGGACAAAGGACAACAAAUGCAAGAAAUCAGAAAGAAACUGUCAUUUCCCAAGGCCAAGAGCUAAGGAAAGUGAAGGAGUUGAGAUUCUACGACUUCCUGGCAGAUGAGGCUGAAGACCGUUUGCUGCCACAAAGGAUGCACCCAGCCAUGCGAGGUUUGAACUGAUUCAGGCCUCCAGCAGAUCCUCCUCAGUGUGCAUCUCUAGAAUACAGUACGUCGUUCCUUGAUAAAGGAUAUUUUAACGCUUAAUCCAUGGGACAAGCUGUAAAGUAACAAAAAGAAGUACUUCUCAACAAAAGGCCCUUCAGCAGGUA